GCUGGGUGUGGUGGUGUAUGCCUGUAGUUCCAGCUACUUGGGAGGCUGAAGCAGGAGGAUCACUUGAGCCUGGGAGGUCAGGCUGCAGUGAGCCAUGAUUGUGCCACUGCACUCCAGCCUGGGCAACAGAGUGAGACCCUGUAUUUA
ensembl:misc_RNA Metazoa_SRP Metazoan signal recognition particle RNA